rnacentral:rRNA from 1 species
UGAGGAAUAUUGGACAAUGGGCGCAAGCCUGAUCCAGCCAUGCCGCGUGCAGGAAGAAGGCCUUCGGGUUGUAAACUGCUUUUUGUACGGAACGAAAGGGCUCUUUCUAAUAAAGAGGGCCCAUGACGGUACCGUAAGAAUAAGCACCGGCUAACUACGUGCCAGCAGCCGCGGUAAUACGUAGGGUGCGAGCGUUAAUCGGAAUUACUGGGCGUAAAGCGUGCGCAGGCGGUUCUAUAAGACAGAUGUGAAAUCCCCGGGCUCAACCUGGGAAUGGCAUUUGUGACUGUAGAGCUAGAGUACGGUAGAGGGGGAUGGAAUUCCGCGUGUAGCAGUGAAAUGCGUAGAUAUGCGGAGGAACACCGAUGGCGAAGGCAAUCCCCUGGGCCUGUACUGACGCUCAUGCACGAAAGCGUGGGGAGCAAACAGGAUUAGAUACCCCCGUAGUCCCUGAGCGGGCUGGCAAGGCGCAU